GCAUACUUUGCCUAGUCUUACUAAACAAUUAAUGCUGGGAACAAUCGUUUUGUCUUGAGAUUGUGCAGGAAGAACGAUUUUUUACGUAUAGCUAUGAAGGGGGAGGGGAGAGGGGUGUUAGGGGGUGUUUAAGGGAGUGUUAUAGGUGGAUGUUUGAGGGACGUGCUAGAGAGGGUGUUAGAGGGGUUUUUAGAGGGGGUGUUAGAGAUUAGGGGGGAGUUGGAGUUGGUAUCAUGUCCUUG